UUUUAAAAUAAGAAAGUCUUUUUUUCCAUCUAAAUAUUAUAUUGAAAUUUGAAGCCAAACAUUAUAACAAAGCCGACAAAGGUAAAAACCAGUCCGGAGUUUACAGCCCAAACAAGGGAGACAAAGAUGAAAUACUGCACCCAAACAAGGGAGACAAGCAAAAUCCAACAAAAUACAAACAUGACAAAACCAACGAGAUUUAACAAUACCUAGUGAACGGAAGACGAAAAGUUUGCCUUAUUAAACUUGCAGAUAAAACGCUGACUGCACCUUGAUAAAAGCAUCCUCCAAAAGACAUAUGAGAUCGAAAAAGCCACAAACAAACAGAGCCCGACUAAACCACCUCUCAAAACCGGGUAAACAACGAUGCUUUAACACCGGAUAUCAAUGGAAAAUCUGCAAAACGAGUACUCCAAACCACAAGACCCUCAAAUGAUCAACAGAACUAGACAACAUAAGCAAAAUAGCAAAGGCGACGAUGAACGCAUAAGAGUUGCUCUGCCAACAUAGGGAUACAUGCCCCUUCACCAAAUACCACAUGAGACUAGAACUUAAAAAUCAACCAAGAGAGAAACGAAAGCAUUUCUACCCAACAAUAACAUAUCUCAUAAUCUAACCCAUUAAGCCUGAACCAAACCCAAUUGAAUACCACACAAACCAACAAACCAUUGAGAAGCAAAGCCGCAAAUCGAAUGACCCACCAAUUUGACACUCCGGAGCACAAGCCAAAAGAACCACAUGUCUAACCAUGGAAGCUUUCAAAGUGAGCUGAAGCCAGCGAGCCACCCACAGUUGAAGGAGAGAAGAGGUAGAGCGAGGGAGAACACAAGAUCUAUACCAACUAAAAAUAAAAACCAAGGAAAAAUACAAACCUAAAGACUGCAAAAGUUAUUUAUCCAUCUAGAUCUGGAAUUUGAAAUACAAACCUUUAAAGAAUCAAAUCAUAUAAGACGGCAAGAUGUCAAAAGGCAAAGAAAAGAGAAGAUAUAAAAGACAAAAGGACAAAAGGCAUGAUGCCAGCCAGCAAAAGUCGCUGGCAAGCAAGACUAAUCUCGAUUUCUUCAAGAAAAAGGCAGAGGAUGUUUAAGAGAGAGAAA
rnacentral:lncRNA from 1 species